AGGGUGAAGGUCAUCCCAGAGCUCAGCAUUGAAACCAGCCGGAAAUUGUUCAGUUGGGGGAACUAGGGGAAAGGGAACAGUGGUGUGGAGGGCAGAGGCAGUGGUGGGAAGCCUGUGUGUGGCCGACGCAUGCUUUUACGCUGUCAUCACGGCCUUGCUUUCUAUAGCAGGGAUCUGAGAAGCAGGCAGGCAGCUGCUCUGCCCGAGACUGUCAGGAGUUGGUGGAUGUGAAUCCAUGUCUGAAGCCCAAGCUCUCACUACUCUGCUGUCUCCCUGAGGGGUGCAUGAAGGCCCCAGCCCAGCCAGUGACACAGAGGUUGGGAAGACCAGGGCGUGAAGCUUCUGUGCUUGGAGAACAGGAGGGCUUGUGGAGCUGUGGUUGAUGGCGUGUCCAGGAAGCCUGGCCAGGCUGGACUCCUCCCCCUUCUCCCAUUCCCUGGCUGGGCUCCUCUUCCUUGGGACCCUCAUAGCUUGAUGAGAAGACAGUGCCCUCUUGGCCAGACCAGGACAUUAUUUGACAGUAGAGAAACUGGAGUGUAGACAAACACCAUGGAUGCUGUGUGGAAGAGUUGUUCCCAGCUGAAGAUGUCCCUCCUCAGUGAAGCCCUGCCUGAGCGUCUCCGGUCCUUCUCAGCAGCCAGAGGCUUCUCAGCACUUCUGCGUUCCCAUCUGGGUGGGAACUGCAUGGCCUGUUUAAGCACAAGGAGGGGGAGUGUGGGGAAGGGGGAGCAGAGUGAGUGGGGAGGUCAGAAAGGCAGGCACUGGUUCAUGUAGGGUGGUUGAUACAGUUUGGAUGUUUGUCCUCUCCAAAUCUCAUACUGAAAUCUGACCCUCAAUGCUGGAGGUGGGACCUGGUGGGAGGUGCUUGGGUGACAUGGGCCAAUCCCUCAUGAAUGGCCUGGUGCCCUCCCUGUGGUAAUGAAUUCCCAUGAGAUCUGAUUGUUAGAAAGAGCCUAGGUAGCUCCUCUCUCUUGCUCCAUCUGUCACUGUGGGACACCUCUGCUACCCUUCCCCUCCCACCAGGAGGGUAAGCUUCCUGAGGCCCUGACCCCAAGCAGAUGCUGCUGCCAUGCCUCCGGUACUGCCUGCAGAACUGUGGACCAAAUAAACCUCUCUUCUUUAUAAACGG